GGAAUCCACGGAAUCCUCCUGGCUUUAUGGGGAAGGCCGGUUCCAGAUAAAAGAUGCCCCCUUGCCAGCCUCCCGUGCAACCAGGGUGGCCAGCAAAGUAAAGGAAGAUGGUGCAAAGUGCGUGCAAGAACUCCUUUAAAGGGUGUCACGGGCAAGAAACAGAAAGAACACAGAAUAUGAAACUGAUCACAGUCACAAAGCAGUUCUGGAGUCAGAACUCGAGUUUUCAGAUUCUCCCUGGGGAUCGCCUGUGGAUGCUGGCCCCUAAGGCCACCGCGAGCAAUGACCAGUUCGUGCACGCCCCCCAGAAUGCUGGAGGUGUGGGCGGAAGUCCACACUGGGCCAGUUAGGUGACAAUUUGCCCAAGGUCACAGCAGCCAGUCCCGGGGCAGGGACCCAGACCUGAGUUUCCGGGAAUAGCUGUAUGGCAAGAAUAAGGUUUUUCCCCAGCCUUCCGUCCCCCAGCCUGUCACGCCGGGUCACUAACUGCAGGAUGAGGAGCCCCGAGGCGGGGCCGGGGAGCCCUGACGCGUAGGAGACUCUGGACAAAUCAAAGCGGCUCUGUGCCCAGGCGGCUUCGGGGAAACCGGGGACGUGGCCUGCUCUGCACUUCCAGGCCUAGGACCCCAGCAGGUCCCGACCCAGCAGAGACGCGGAGGCCCGUGGGAGCCCCGUUACCUGAGAGCGCCGCGUCCUCCCCGCGCACAGUGCCCGCGGGCAGCAGCCAGAGCAGCAGCCACCACAUCCCUGGCGCGGCGGCGGCCACCACACCGCCCGGCUCGGCUGGACGCCUUCCCGGCGGCCGCCAGGUGGCGGCGGAAAUGGAGCGGCGCGCGCGGGAAGACCCCGAGGAGCCGUCCGCGGGCGGGGGCGGGGCCGGUCCGCGUGCCCGCCCCCUCGCGGCCUCGCCCCGCCUACUUGCAGCCUAUCCCCGCCCCCUCGCACUCGGGCCGCCUCCCGGAGGCGCCCCGCCCCUCACGUAUCGCCCCGCCCACCGCCCAGCCGACUCCUCUUCCUGGGGAAUCUCCCUGUCCUCCGCCAGGCUCCGCCCCACCCGGGUGGUGGCUGUGUGGUUCAAGGCGGGCUUGGGGGAGAAGGGUGCACCUGUGAGACCGUUCUGACACUCGCGUGCUACCGAGACCCAUGGGUUUGGGUGGGGCUUCAGUGAGUGACAGCCAGGAAGGCGAGGCCGUUCUGCAGGAAACCACUGUUUUAUCAAUAAAAGCCAGUGCCUUUGUUUCACAUAUUUCAUCCCCCUCUUUGGUAACAAUAACAAGCAGGAAAGUGGGUUGCUUAAAAUACAAGGCUUGUAGGGGUAAACUCAUAAGUAAACAUUUCAAAGGACAAAGCAGCUGGAAAAUGUUCCUUCACUAACGUAAUAGGUCUCAAAAUUAGAAUGAAUUAAGAAUAUAUAAAGAUUUAAUUAGAUUGAAUUAAAAAUAUAUAAAU